rnacentral:lncRNA from 1 species
UAAUGGUGUGCAUGUACACCAUGUGGUGUUAUGCAUGCGAGCAACGUGGCAGCUAGUGGUGCAGUGCAGCCAGCUACUGACAAAAUGUGAUUGACAGCUGCAAUGUGACGAGAUAGCAGUAAGCGACGUGACAUACAAUAGGUGCGCAGUAGGCGACGUGCAAGCAGUUAGCGUGCGACGAUACAUAAGUGCAGGUUGAUAGGACAGGUGCAUUCAUAGAGCGUAGUCACACGACAUGCACGCAGACAGUCAUGCAAUGCUACAUGCAAAUGCAUGGGAUGGGACGUUCGCACUAUGCUGACAUUGUGUGCGCAGAUACGCGCGCGCAGCCAUGCAACGGGUGUGCAUGCACUGUAGAUGCGCGAUAUAACGUUUGUGCACUUGCAAGUGCAUGCACUGUUUCCCCAUGUACGCACGACAGGUGCGCGGGCACGUUGACAUAAGGGUACGCUGGCC